ensembl:lncRNA
GGGGAGAGAGGAACAGAAACAAACAAACAGUGCGCUCAUCCAUGACAUUGAUAAUGUACCAAACGCUGCCGGUGGCCAGUGACAGACGUCUCCGUCACACCCGCGAUCAUGCAGUCACCACUUCAGCCUCAAACUUAACUGUCAAACCAACGUGUUUUCAUCCCUCGUUAUCUAAACCUGACGACUGGACAUUGCUCCUUCAGCUUCAUACAUCCGAAGCGGAAUCUGCCUGUGGCCAUGACCCCAUUUGGAUGUGGGGAUAGUAGAGGGAAACGAUGCCUUACUCCAAGAACUCCAGGAGCUCUUGGACAUAUCCGAUGUCCACGAUGAGACAUCACCACCACUGCUCAACGGCCUCAUAAGACUGGGAUACAAGACAGCAACUGUCCACAAAAAGGUGGAAGGAGGCAAGACCAUAUCGCAUUGAUAACUGGCUGGCAGAAGAGGAUCAUCACCCAGAUGUCAACAGUGCAGUACCAACCCAGCUGUAAUGCGCUGAAGAAAUUGCCUUCUGUGUCCCUUCUUCUGUGAGAAGCACAGCCGCGAGCUGCCCAGUGACACGAGCCUACCAGACAAGCUAAAAUACUUCAAUGCUCGCUUCGAGGCAAGCAACACUGAAGCAUGCAUGAGAGCAUCAGCUGUUCCGGAUGACUGUGUGAUCAUGCUCUCCGUAGCCGAUGUGAGUAAGACCUUUAAACAGGUCAACAUUCACAAGGCUGCAGGGCUAGACGGAUUACCAGGACGUGUACUCUGUGCAUGCGCUGACCAACUCGCAAGAGUCGUCACUGACAUUUUCAACCUGUCCACGACUGAGUCUGUAAUACCGACAUGUUUCAAGCAGACCACCAUAGUCCCUGUGCCCAAGAACACCAAGGUAACCUGCCUAAAUGACUACCGACCAGUAGCACUCACAUCUGUAGCCAUGAAAUUCUUUGAAGGGCUGGUCAUGGCUCACAUCAACACCAUUAUCCCAGAAACCUUAGACCCACUCCAAUUUGCAUACUGCCCCAACAGAUCCACAGAUGAUGCAAUCUCUAUUGCACUCCACACUGCCCUUUCACAAAUAGACAAAAGGAACACCUAUGUGAGAAUGCUAUUCAUUGACUACAGCUCAGCAUUCAACACCAUAGUGCCCUCAAAGCUCAUCACUAAGCUAAGGACCCUGGGACUAAACACCUCCCUCUGCAACUGGAUCCUGAACUUCCUGACGGGACGCCCCCAGGUGGUAAGGCCCAGAUGCUGUGCGUGUAUCAGCGGGAGUCACGUCUAGCCGGUCAACAAGUUCAUCCACGAAGUGUUCACGAAGAUGAACGAGGACGGGUAUAAGACCCAAUUUGAUGAAGAGGGCCGUGUGGUCUGGAGAGACAUCAUUCUGCCUAUCCCAAUCAAUCUUGGAGAGAAGGUGGAUAUAGCCCAGAUGAUGCGUGCAGCGGGUAACGAGCACUUACUGACCAUUCUACAAUACCCUGAUGCUGGACAUCUCAUUAAGCUGCCCUACACGCCCUACAGAACGCCAAUGCUCAAGAAGACUCCUGUGAAAAGAGCCUUGACUUUCUAAGGCAACACCUGUACCCCAGACAUGACUCUGUCCCUAAGGCCAAGCUGUGAUGUCACGCCCGAGAAGCCUCCAGGACCUAGUAUGAACAAGUCUCUCAUUCACUGUACUGUCUGAGUUUCAACCUUCCCAUAGUGUUAACACCUGUGUCUAUAACCUAACUGCCA